rnacentral:rRNA from 1 species
GACGAACGCUGGCGGCGUGCUUAACACAUGCAAGUCGAACGGAAAGGCCCUGCUUUUGUAGGGUGCUCGAGUGGCGAGCGGGUGAGUAACACGUGAGUAACCUGCCCCUGACUUUGGGAUAACUUCAGGAAACUGGGGCUAAUACCGGAUAUGAGCUCCUGCUGCAUGGUGGGGGUUGGAAAGUUUCGGCGGUUGGGGAUGGACUCGCGGCUUAUCAGCUUGUUGGUGGGGUAGUGGCUUACCAGGGCGUUGACGGGUAGCCGGCCUGAGAGGGUGACCGGCCACAUUGGGACUGAGAUACGGCCCAGACUCCUACGGGAGGCAGCAGUGGGGAAUAUUGCACAAUGGGCGGAAGCCUGAUGCAGCAACGCCGCGUGCGGGAUGACGGCCUUCGGGUUGGAAACCGCUUUCGCCUGUGACGAAGCGUGAGUGACGGUAAUGGGUAAAGAAGCACCGGCUAACUACGUG